rnacentral:rRNA from 1 species
AGCAGCCGCGGUAAUUCCAGCUCCAAUAGCGUAUAUUAAAGUUGUUGCAGUUAAAAAGCUCGUAGUUGAAUUUCGGGAUCAAGUCGUCGGUCGUGCCUCGGUACGCACUGGUGACAUUGGUUUCUCCCUUCUGAAGAACCUUGAUGUCAUUAAUUUGGUGUCUUGGGGAAUCAGGACUGUUACUUUGAAAAAUUAGAGUGUUUAAAGCAGGCUCACGCUUGAAUACAUUAGCAUGGAAUAAUGAAAUAGGACGUUUGAUUCUAUUUUGUUGGUUUCUAGGAUCGACGUAAUGAUUAAUAGGGAUAGUUGGGGGCAUUAGUAUUCAAUUGUCAGAGGUGAAAUUCUUGGAUUUAUUGAAGACUAACUACUGCGAAAGCAUUUGCCAAGGAUGUUUUCAUUAAUCAAGAACGAAAGUUAGGGGAUCGAAGACGAUCAGAUACCGUCGUAGUCUUAAUCAUAAACUAUGCCGACUAGGGAUCGGAUGAUGUUAAUUUUAAUGA